GUUAAACUGCAAUUGGUACAAUUGGUAGCUACAGGUAACAUAACGAGCAUGAACAUCAAAAAGUCAUACAUUAACCAAAACUUUAUAAAUGUUGUGAUCUGUGAUACUGUGAGUUGGAGUGUCGGCUUCCACAGCUCGGAUGAGGAUCAUCGUGUGCGCUUUGGUCUUUAGCCCUGAGUGUGUGUUCGGUUCCCCUGUCCACUC